rnacentral:sRNA from 1 species
AGCUCCACGGGGUCCACGCCGCGGGUGACCACGAGGUAGUCGCGCAGGGCGACGCCGUGCCGGUUCUC